rnacentral:rRNA from 1 species
GAUGAACGCUGGCGGCGUGCCUAAUACAUGCAAGUCGAGCGAACGGACGAGAAGCUUGCUUCUCUGAUGUUAGCGGCGGACGGGUGAGUAACACGUGGAUAACCUACCUAUAAGACUGGGAUAACUUCGGGAAACCGUAGCUAAUACCGGAUAAUAUUUUGAACCGCAUGGCUCAAAAGUGAAAGACGCUCUUGCUGUCACUUAUAGAUGGAUCCGCGCUGCAUUAGCUAGUUGGUAAGGUAACGGCUUACCAAGGCAACGAUGCAUAGCCGACCUGAGAGGGUGAUCGGCCACACUGGAACUGAGACACGGUCCAGACUCCUACGGGAGGCAGCAGUAGGGAAUCUUCCGCAAUGGGCGAAAGCCUGACGGAGCAACGCCGCGUGAGUGAUGAAGGUCUUCGGAUCGUAAAACUCUGUUAUUAGGGAAGAACAUAUGUGUAAGUAACUGUGCACAUCUUGACGGUACCUAAUCAGAAAGCCACGGCUAACUACGUG